rnacentral:misc_RNA from 1 species
GAACGCACCUUGCGCCCUUUGGACAUUCUGAAGGGCAUGCCUGUUUGAGUAUCAUGAACACCUCAACUCUUUAUGGUUUUCCAUGAUGAGCUUGGACUUUGGGGGUUUUGCUGGCCUACAGGUCAGCUCCUCUAAAAUAAAUCAGCUUACCAGUGUUUGCUGGGUAUCCUGGGUGUGAUAACUAUCUACGCUCGUGGUUUUCCAUCAGAUAACCUUCACAGCAGUGGAGGUUCACUGGAGCUCAUAGAUGUCUCUCCUCAGUGAGGACAGCCCUUUGAAUGUUUGAUCUCAAAUCAGGUAGGACUACCCGCUGAACUUA